CUUAUACUCCCUCCGUUCUGAAUUACUUGUCACAGAAAUGGAUGUAACUAGAACUAAAAAAUGUCUAGAUACAUCCAUUUCUACGACAAGUAAUUCCGAACGGAGGGAGUAUGUC
rnacentral:pre_miRNA from 1 species